rnacentral:rRNA from 1 species
GUCUAAGGCCAUACCACCCUGAACAUGCCCAAUCUUGUCUGAGCUCAGAAGCUAAGAAGAGUCAGGCCUGGUUAGUCUUUGGAUGGGAAAUUAGGAAACAAAAUGUAUCAUCUACU